AUUGAACGCUGGCGGCAGGCCUAACACAUGCAAGUCGAGCGGAUGAAGGGAGCUUGCUCCUGGAUUCAGCGGCGGACGGGUGAGUAAUGCCUAGGAAUCUGCCUGGUAGUGGGGGAUAACGUCCGGAAACGGGCGCUAAUACCGCAUACGUCCUGAGGGAGAAAGUGGGGGAUCUUCGGACCUCACGCUAUCAGAUGAGCCUAGGUCGGAUUAGCUAGUUGGUGGGGUAAAGGCCUACCAAGGCGACGAUCCGUAACUGGUCUGAGAGGAUGAUCAGUCACACUGGAACUGAGACACGGUCCAGACUCCUACGGGAGGCAGCAGUGGGGAAUAUUGGACAAUGGGCGAAAGCCUGAUCCAGCCAUGCCGCGUGUGUUAAGAAGGUCUUCGGAUUGUAAAGCACUUUAAGUUGGGAGGAAGGGCAGUAAGUUAAUACCUUGCUGUUUUGACGGUACCAACAGAAUAAGCACCGGCUAACUUCGUG
rnacentral:rRNA from 1 species